GGACCGUCAGCUCCUGCCGGCCGGGCCCGGUGCUCAGCCCGCCGCUCUGAAGCCGGAACGCUACCUUAGACGCAGAUGAGGAAGUACACCUGGAUGGAAUUUAGGAGUACGUAAGAAGAUACGGUAUUGGUCCACACAGAAUAAAAAAAAAGAUAAAUUGGACUUAGCUCAAAGCUCUCUAUUACUUUUGGAUAACAUUGUUUAUCUUUUGUUUAAAAAAAAUGUGUGUGUUUCCUUAAUAUCUUGGUUUUGAAAUUGCUAUUGUUUAGAUUUGCAGCUAAAAAAGAAGUCUUGAGUAACCCAACCAUCAAUUAUUGGUUGAGUAGUAAAAACUAUUGAAUGUAGUCUUUGUUUACAAUCCUGGGUAAUUAGUGCUCCCUCUCUUCUGUUAUUAACUCUACAUUUCAUAUAAACUAGUCAGAGCUGGUACAAAUAG